GACGAACGCUGGCGGUGUGCUUAACACAUGCAAGUCGAACGGUAAGGCCCUUUCGGGGGUACACGAGUGGCGAACGGGUGAGUAACACGUGAGUAACCUGCCCUCAUCUCUGGGAUAACAGUCGGAAACGGUUGCUAAUACUGGAUAUGAGCUUGCAAGGCAUCUUGUGGGUUGGAAAGAUUUUUUGGUUGGGGAUGGACUCGCGGCCUAUCAGCUUGUUGGUGAGGUAGUGGCUCACCAAGGCUUCGACGGGUAGCCGGCCUGAGAGGGCGACCGGCCACAUUGGGACUGAGAUACGGCCCAGACUCCUACGGGAGGCAGCAGUGGGGAAUAUUGCACAAUGGACGGAAGUCUGAUGCAGCAAACGCCCGCGUGCGGGGAUGACGGGCCCUUUCCGGGGUUGUAAAACCCGCUUUUCAAAUUGUGAA
rnacentral:rRNA from 2 species